rnacentral:misc_RNA from 1 species
AAAACCAGUGUCUUUUUUAUACCAUUCUCGUUGAUUUUACGAUCCUUGCCGGUGACCUUCCAGUAUCCAGCAUUAGUCGUCCUAUUGGCCCGAUUGCUGUUUGAGUACUUGUAAUUGCGAGGGCAAAAGAAAUACCACACUUGGUCAUUUGAAUUAUUAGAUAUCACCGCCUCUGGAUGCUCGAUAUCAGGCAGUUGCCAAGGUUCAAAAUUCAACACAUUAACCUCCGGGAUCUCUUGGACUCGAUCAUCAUAGCCAAGCAUCUUGAGCCUCAGGUAAUGAUUCACCAAUUCUUCAUCAGUCGGAUGGAAUCU